UGAUGUUGAAGUUUAUUAAUUUAGGCAUCUCACUAGUGUGCAGUAAUAACUCAACUUCAUUGAAUUUCUUCGGGUUUGAAGACCUUUUUUUGUGGUGAUCUGGAUUCUGUUUUGAAUUCUUAUGUGUACUUUAUUUAUUGCUAUGAUGUAAAUUGUAGAGUGUUUUCUUAGUGAUGCGAUGCUAAGUUUGUAUCAUAGUAUUUUG
rnacentral:lncRNA from 1 species